rnacentral:rRNA from 1 species
GAAUUUUGGACAAUGGGCGCAAGCCUGAUCCAGCCAUGCCGCGUGAGUGAAGAAGGCCUUCGGGUUGUAAAGCUCUUUCGGACGGAAAGAAAUCGCGCAGGCUAAUAACCUGCGCGGAUGAAGGUACCGCCCAAAGAAGCACCGGCUACCUAACGGCCACCUGCCGCGGUAAUACGUAGGGUGCGAGAGUUAAUCGGAAUUACUGGGCGUAAAGCGUGCGCAGGCGGUUGAUUACGACAGGCGUGAAAUCCCCGGGCUUAACCUGGGAACUGCGCUUGUGACUGGUCAGCUAGAGUACGGCAGAGGGGGGUGGAAUUCCACGUGUAGCAGUGAAAUGCGUAGAGAUGUGGAGGAACACCGAUGGCGAAGGCAGCCCCCUGGGCCGAUACUGACGCUCAUGCACGAAAGCGUGGGUAGCAAACAGG